rnacentral:rRNA from 1 species
AUAUUGCGCAAUGGAGGGAACUCUGACGCAGCGACGCCGCGUGAGCGAUGAAGGUUUUNGGAUCGNANAGCUCUGUCCUUGGGGANACAGGCGGCCAUGUAUGGCCACUUGACGGUACCCAAGGAGGAAGCCCCGGAUAACUACGUGCCAGCAGGCGCGGUAAUACGUAGGGGGCAGGCGUUGUCCAGAAUUAUUGGGCGUAAAGGGUGCGUAGGCGGCCUUUUAAGUCAGAUGUGAAAGACCACGGCUUAACCGUGGGGUUGCAUUUGAAACUGGAGGGCUUGAGUAUCGGAGAGGGUAGUGGAAUUCCUGGAGUAGCGGCGAAAUGCGUAGAUAUCAGGAGGAACACCAGUGGCGAAGGCGACUACCUGGACGAAAACUGACGCUGAGGCACGAAAGCUAGGGGAGCAAAC